rnacentral:rRNA from 1 species
GUAGGUGGCAAGCGUUGUCCGGAAUUAUUGGGCGUAAAGCGCGCGCAGGUGGUUCUUUAAGUCUGAUGUGAGAGCCCCCGGCUCAACCGGGGAGGGUCAUUGGAAACUGGGGAACUUGAGUGCAGGAGAGGAAAGUGGAAUUCCACGUGUAGCGGUGAAAUGCGUAGAUAUGUGGAGGAACACCAGUGGCGAAGGCGACUUUCUGGCCUGUAACUGACACUGAGGCGCGAAAGCGUGGGGAGCAAACAGGGAUUAGAUACCCUGGUAGUCCACGCCGUAAACGAUGAGUGCUAAGUGUUGGGGGGGUUUCCCGCCCCUCAGUGCUGCAGCUAACGCAUUAAGCACUCCGCCUGGGGAGUACGGUCGCAAGACUG